UCAAAACGACUCUCGGCAACGGAUAUCUCGGCUCUCGCAUCGAUGAAGAACGUAGCGAAAUGCGAUACUUGGUGUGAAUUGCAGAAUCCCGUGAACCAUCGAGUCUUUGAACGCAAGUUGCGCCCGAUGCCUCCCGGCUGAGGGCACGCCUGCCUGGGCGUCA
rnacentral:rRNA from 1 species